ensembl:lncRNA
CGGUAUUUAGAUGUGCUUCUGUGCUGUCUCUGUUCCGUCACGUGCAAAGGAUAAGCAUUUUCAAGAGCAGGAUCGCCUGGAAAACUAGCAGGCCUCCCUUUCCCCCCUUGGAGCUGCACUGCUCCAUGGGUUUUGUGUGUGGCUCCAGAAGCUGGGUAGUUCAUUGUUCUGGUGACUCUUGAUGGAACACAGAAAGGGAGAGGGGAACGAAACUUAAUGCUCUCUUAAUAUGCCAUCAAAAACAAUCAGGUUGCAGAACUUCAUGAAAGCUUUACUAGUCAUCUUACUGUUCUGACAUUGUGUAAAAGUGGUAUUAACAUUGUGUGACCUUUCAAAGCGCUACGUAGGUUUAUAAGUAGGUAACAGGGAUAUUGAAGAUCAGAGCACUUGAAACAAAGUUAUGGGGAAACAGGUGUGCAUGGUGGAACCCCACUUUGAGCAGGCAAGUGACACUCCCUGGGGCUCAGGAGGGAAGGUUCCGUUUGUGAUUCUUUCUGUGUCCCUGGAUCUGCCCACUCUGCGCAGAGCUCCGCCACCCAGUGCCCCUUCUGCUUCAAACCCAGGACACUGUCAGAAAGUUCACCCCAAAACUAAUUUACUGUAAAAACAUUGAGGUCUGCUGCAAAGUUCCCCGACUUUCCCUAGUUUAUUCAUCCGUCCUUGUUUCGGGCCGGCCACAGCCGCACAGAAGCAGCCUUAGGCUUCCUUCGUAACUGGGCUGCAGCGUUGGGUCCCCUAACGCUGCACCCCAAGUCUGCAGGCAGACAGCCGGCCGCAGUGCUGUUAACAAGAGGGGACAUCCAAACACUUGCUCAAAGGUGGGAUCUCCUUCGACCGAGAAAGGACAGAGGCAAGAGGAGAAAAGACUCUGCGCUCCCACCCAGCCCUCACAGUGUCUCAAGGUCUGAACCAUAGAGCAGGAAAUGAAAUGCACUUUCAGAAGCUAAAAGGACAGUUGGGAUAGGAAAGGCUGUCGUAGGCGGGGUGGGGUGCCAUGUCUUUGGCUCCGACCCUGCUCUGCACAAGGCACAUACUUCUAAGAGGAGAGUGGACCACUGCCUGCCUGGUUGUGUUUAAAACGGCAGACAGUUGGGAGGGGAUAAAAGGAGGGAGCAUAUGACUUUGCAACCAUAUUAUAACAUUGGCUUUCCACAACAUAAAUGGUGUGUCUCCUGUGUCCCCUGAGUUCAGAUAAAGAGGAGAAACAGGCAUCUCCCAGCUUCUUGCCUCUGCUUGAGUGGGCACGUGUGCAUUACCCACUCCAGAGAGCCUCCCUCUCCGAGGACACGCCCUCCUCCCACGGUAGACCGUGGCCCCACUUCCUCCAUCUGUGGCAGUAGCACAGGCUAGAGUUGCCAAGUCUGCCCUCCCUCUGAGUAAUGUUGAACUCUGGCCUAUAGCAUCACGGGACCUGGAGCCUAGGGUGGGACCUCGUAAAGCCUCUGAAUGUCGCUGCUUACAAGCUACUGCAAACUGAGGGCAAAUUGCAAUCUUCUCUUUCUUUUUGUUGCAAGGGGUCUUCGCAGGUCUCUUAACAUCUGCUUUCCCCAGCACCCUGCCUGGAGCGGCUGGCCAGCUCUCCGCACCCCGCCCCCUCCCACCUGUCUGACU